rnacentral:misc_RNA from 1 species
UUGAUUGCGAAUCGUUGCCUUCAGUGCUGGCCAGCUCGCCUGGCAAGUGCACGUCGGUGCGUUCAUCCAAUACCCUGUGCACCCUUGGCCUCUGCUAGCUUCGGCCGGCAGAGGAUUUUUAUACCUACUCGAAUGUAAUGAAAUUAUUGUCGUGCGCAAGCACUAAUGUA